rnacentral:rRNA from 1 species
UACAGAGGGGGCAAGCGUUGUUCGGAAUUACUGGGCGUAAAGAGCUCGUAGGCGGUUCGUCACGUCGGCUGUGAAAUCCCGAGGCUCAACCUCGGGUCUGCAGUCGAUACGGGCGGACUUGAGUACUGCAGGGGAGACUGGAAUUCCUGGUGUAGCGGUGAAAUGCGCAGAUAUCAGGAGGAACACCGGUGGCGAAGGCGGGUCUCUGGGCAGUAACUGACGCUGAGGAGCGAAAGCGUGGGGAGCGAACAGG